ensembl:snRNA U6 U6 spliceosomal RNA
CUGCUUCAGCAGCACCUACACUAAAGUUGGAACGAUACAGAGAGGAUUAGAUUGGCCCUUGCGCAUGGAUGACAAGCAAAUUCGUGAAGUGUUCCGUAUUUUU